AUCUAAAGGCCUACUAAACAAACUAAACCAUAUUUCUCAAACCCUAGAUUCGGAUCCGCCAUCAACAGGCUCCGCCAUCAACAGGCUCGAACGCCCUCUCCUCAAACCCUACCAGAUCUUGUCGUUCGGCGCCUCAAACCCCAGAUUCGGAUCCGCCAUCACCAUAGAGGUGGGGGCAGACGGCAUAGCGCUCAUCACCAUCGCCAACCUGCCCGUGGUGGAUGCGCCAUCGCCUGAGGCGAGCCGCGGGGAAAUGAGGGAUCCUUGGAGGCAGAGCUGGCGUCGCGUCGCCGGUGGACGCUGGUGCUGGUGAACAUGGCGUCGAUGCUGGAAAAGAUAGACGAGAUGUUGCUGCUCGCCGUGUACAAGAAGGUGUGCACGUCGCUGGGCGCUUCUCGACGGCGCUGGGCUCCCAAACCCUUUGUCGCGCGCUCGUUCAAGCCGCCUACUACCUACUCAAAGCCUACGCCUCCGCGCGUCAUGAUCGGGCCCGUGUCGUCGCUGUCGGAGCCUUCACCUGGGCCACCAUCGCCUUCCUCGUCGCCAUCUCCGGCAGCUUCCUCUAGGAAGGCCAUCUGGUAUUUCGAAGGAAUCUAUGCGUACUCCCCUCAGAUACCAGGUGUUCGUUUCCCAGGAUUAACCCAUCCUGGUAUAGUGGGAACUGCACCGUCAGCCAAACUUCUUAAUGUAUGGAAUGAGAGGGAGAAAAGAUUGGCCGAGACAAGCCCACAGACCCUUAAACUGUUUGAAGUGCUACACCAGAGGCCCCUUGCCAAUUUACCGACCCCUGAGAACUGCUUACUUGGAAAGAUUCAGGAGGGGACUGCUGGAUGGCACAAAGUGGCGAAUGAAGCAGCCAGGACUAUUCCGGGAAGGGAGAAUGGUGGUAAUUGUGACAUAAAAAACCUAAGCAGAGGUUCCAAAGUUUAUCUGCCAGUAUUUGUCGAAGGAGCGAAUCUUAGCACCGGUGAUAUGCACUUCUCUCAGGGCGAUGGUGAAGUUUCGUUUUGUGGAGCAAUUGAAAUGAGUGGAUUCCUUGAGCUCAACUUCUUCCAGGGAUUCAUACCUUUGAUCCAUCCAUCAAAAACAAAGUUCAGUGCAGCGGUGGUUUUGUUGUAAUGGGUCAGAGGUGGCAGUAGGACCAUUGGCACCUUCAUCAAUUUAAGUUCAGUGCAGCGGUGAGGGAAAAAUCCAUCACCAGCAUGGGAUAAGUUGGUAUUUAACAAGAUAAAAGCUAGACCCUGUGGACGAGUGAGACUUAUGAGUUUAGUCGCUUCUCCGCUAUCAGCAGAUGUUCGACAUGCCCCGUGCCUACUAUCACUCUCGAUUUGAAGAAGAGUCUCAAGAUUCUGCAGGUGUUGUGUUACUCCUAAUUCAGUUACCUUACUGGCAAUAGGAUGCCAUUGCAACAUCUGAAAGUGCAACCAUCUGAUUGAAGCGGAUUUAAUUAUACAAGAUAGAUCUAGAAUUGCUUUACUUGAGAUUCAAGCAAUGUUGGAUGCUUUUGUGACUGAUCAUCUCUGGAGCUUUUGUGAAUGAUCUAGCUAGCUAUCUGUAAAUGAUCUUGUUGUGAAUGAUAUUAUAAUUGUGAUGUUUUUUGUGAAUAUAUAAUUGUGGUGCUUUUGUGUUUAUGUGAUGGAUCUAUGACUGUGGUAUACUGAUUAAUUGUGUAUGUCUUUAUGAUUUGUGUAUAAAAAUCUAUGAUUUGUGGUGCUUAA